rnacentral:rRNA from 1 species
GAUGAACGCUGGCGGCGUGCCUAAUACAUGCAAGUCGAGCGAACGGACGAGAAGCUUGCUUUUCUGAUGUUAGCGGCGGACGGGUGAGUAACACGUGGAUAACCUACCUAUAAGACUGGGAUAACUUCGGGAAACCGGAGCUAAUACCGGAUAAUAUUUUGAACCGCAUGGUUCAAAAGUGAAAGACGGUCUUGCUGUCACUUAUAGAUGGAUCCGCGCUGCAUUAGCUAGUUGGUAAGGUAACGGCUUACCAAGGCAACGAUGCAUAGCCGACCUGAGAGGGGGAUCGGCCAAACUGGAACUGAGACACGGUCCAGACUCCUACGGGAGGCAGCAGUAGGGAAUCUUCCGCAAUGGGCGAAAGCCUGACGGAGCAACGCCGCGUGAGUGAUGAAGGUCUUCGGAUCGUAAAACUCUGUUAUUAGGGAAGAACAUAUGUGUAAGUAACUGUGCACAUCUGGACGGUACCUAAUCAGAAAGCCACGGCUAACUACGU